rnacentral:tRNA from 1 species
GGGGUUGUAGCUCAAUGGAAGAGUGCUUGCCUAUCAUGUGUGAGGUUCUGGGUUCAAUUCCCAGCACCA